rnacentral:rRNA from 1 species
UACGGAGGGUGCAAGCGUUGCUCGGAAUUAUUGGGCGUAAAGGGUAGGUAGGUGGUCUCAUUUGUCUGGGGUGAAAUCCUUGGGCUUAACUCAAGAAGUGCCUCAGAAACGGUGAGACUGGAGUCCUGGAGAGGGUCGUGGAAUUCCUGGUGUAGCGGUGAAAUGCGUAGAGAUUAGGAAGAACACCCGUGGCGAAGGCGGCUCUCUGGGACGGUACUGACGCUGAGACGCGAAAGCGUGGGGAGCGAACAGG